AAUCAACGCUGGCGGCGUGCCUAACACAUGCAAGUCGAACGAGAAAGUGGAGCAAUCCAUGAGUAAAGUGGCGCACGGGUGAGUAACACGUGACUAACCUACCUUUUAGUGGGGGAUAACCUAGGGAAACCUGGGCUAAUACCGCAUAACACUUACGAGUCAAAGCAGCAAUGCGCUGGAAGAGGGGGUCGCGGUCGAUUAGUUAGUUGGCAGGGUAAUGGCCUACCAAGACUGUGAUCGAUAUCCGGCCUGAGAGGGCGCACGGACACACUGGAACUGAAACACGGUCCAGACUCCUACGGGAGGCAGCAGUGGGGAAUUUUGCGCAAUGGGGGAAACCCUGACGCAGCAACGCCGCGUGGAGGAUGAAGUCCCUUGGGACGUAAACUCCUUUCGACCGGGAAGAUAAUGACGGUACCGGAAGAAGAAGCCCGGCUAACUUCGUGCCAGCAGCCGCGGUAAUACGAGGGGGGCAAGCGUUGUUCGGAAUUAUUGGGCGUAAAGGGUGCGUAGGUGGUUCGGCAAGUCUUGUGUGAAAUCUUCAGGCUCAACUUGAAGUCUGCACAAGAAACUGCCGGGCUUGAGUAUGGGAGAGGUGAGUGGAAUUUCCGGUGUAGCGGUGAAAUGCGUAGAUAUCGGAAGGAACACCUGUGGCGAAAGCGGCUCACUGGACCAUUACUGACACUGAGGCACGAAAGCUAGGGGAGCAAACAGGAUUAGAUACCCUGGUAGUCCUAGCCCUAAACGAUGAUCGCUUGGUGUGGCGGGUAUCCAACCCUGCCGUGCCGUAGCUAACGCGUUAAGCGAUCCGCCUGGGGAGUACGGUCGCAAGGCUG
rnacentral:rRNA from 1 species